rnacentral:ncRNA from 1 species
GACUGGGGCAGUAUACCUGUCAAAGCAUAAUGCAGGUGUCCUAAGGCGAGCUCAGGGAGGCCAGAAACCUCCCAUGGAGCAGAAGGGCAAAAGCUCGCUUGAUCUUUUUCUAUCUAGUGGUCUUAAUCUGG